UACAGAGGGUGCAAGCGUUAAUCGGAUUUACUGGGCGUAAAGCGUGAGUAGGUGGCUUCCUAAGUCGGUUGUGAAAUCCCUGGGCUUAACCUGGGAAUUGCAGUCGAUACUGGGAAGCUCGAGUUCGGUAGAGGGUGGCGGAAUUCCCGGUGUAGCGGUGAAAUGCGUAGAUAUCGGGAGGAACAUCGAUGGCGAAGGCAACCACCUGGGCCUGAACUGACGCUGAUGCGCGAAAGCGUGGGUAGCAAACAGG
rnacentral:rRNA from 1 species